AACGUAGGAGACAAACGUUAUCCGGAGUUACUGGGCGUAAAGGGCGUGUAGGCGGUCGAGUAAGUGGAAUGUGAAAUGCCCCGGCUCACCCGGGGACCUGCAUUCCAAACUGCUCGGCUCGAGUAUGGGAGAGGAUGAGGGAAUACCUGGUGUAGAGGUGAAAUUCGUAGAUAUCAGGAGGAACACCGGUGGCGAAAGCGGCUUCCUGGCCCGACAUUGACGCUCAUGUACGAAAGCGUGGGGAGCAAACAGG
rnacentral:rRNA from 1 species